CUGGCUCAGGAUGAACGCUAGCGACAGGCCUAACACAUGCAAGUCGAGGGGCAGCACAAGGAGCAAUCUGAGGUGGCGACCGGCGCACGGGUGAGUAACACGUAUGCAACCUGCCUGUAAGCGGGGAAUAACCCGUUGAAAGACGGACUAAUACCGCAUAAUACUAAAUUACUGCAUGGUAAUUUAUUUAAACAUUUAUGGCUUACAGAUGGGCAUGCGCAUGAUUAGCUAGUUGGAGAGGUAACGGCUCCCCAAGGCAACGAUCAUUAGGGGUUCUGAGAGGAAGGUCCCCCCACACUGGUACUGAGACACGGACCAGACUCCUACGGGAGGCAGCAAUGAGGAAUAUUGGUCAAUGGACGAGAGUCUGAACCAGCCAAGUCGCGUGCAGGAAGAAUUGUCCUAUGGAUUGUAAACUGCUUUUGCAGGGGAAUAAAGUGCAUCACGUGUGAUGUUUUGUAUGUACUCUGCGAAUAAGGAUCGGCUAACUCCGUGCCAGCCGCAGC
rnacentral:rRNA from 1 species